rnacentral:lncRNA from 1 species
CCUCCUUAUCUUUACAAGGCUGCAGAACAUGCAAGCUAGUGAUGUGGGGGUUCUCUCAUAACCCUCAGUCCCCAGGUGGGUAGAUGGCAGGUUGAAUAAAGAGAAGCUAGUGAUGUGGGGGUUCUCUCAUAACCCUCAGUCCCCAGGUGGGUAGAUGGCAGGUUGAAUAAAGAGAAGCUAGUGAUGUGGGGGUUCUCUCAUAACCCUCAGUCCCCAGGUGGGUAGAUGGCAGGUUGAAUAAAGAGAAGCUAGUGAUGUGGGGGUUCGCUCAUAACCCUCAGUCCCCAGGUGGGUAGAUGGCAGGUUGAAUAAAGAGAAGCUAGUGAUGUGGGGGUUCUCUCAUAACCCUCAGUCCCCAGGUGGGUAGAUGGCAGGUUGAAUAAAGAGAAGCUAGUGAUGUGGGGGUUCUCUCAUAACCCUCAGUCCCCAGGUGGGUAGAUGGCAGGUUGAAUAAAUAGAAAACAAUAGGCAACAUAAAACAAUCCAUAAAUGUAUAAUUAUUAUGUAAUUUACACAAAACAUUAAGGACACCUUUUCUUUCCAUGACAAACUGACCAGGCGUAACUCAAUAUUAGGAAGGUAUCCUUAAUAUUUUGUCCACUCAGUGGCUCUGACCCUUUACGUA